rnacentral:rRNA from 1 species
CCUACGGGCGGCAGCAGUGAGGAAUAUUGGUCAAUGGGCGCGAGCCUGAACCAGCCAAGUAGCGUGAAGGAUGACUGCCCUACGGGUUGUAAACCUCUUUUAUAAAGGAAUAAAGUGAGGCACGUGUGCCUUUUUGUAUGUACUUUAUGAAUAAGGAUCGGCUAACUCCGUGCCAGCAGCCGCGGUGAUACGGAGGAUCCGAUCGUUAUCCGGAUUUAUUUGGGUUAAAGGGAGCGUCGAUGGGGUGUUAAGUCAGUUGUGAAAGUUUGCGGCUCAAACGUAAAAUUGCAAUUGAUACUGGCAGUCUGGAGUACAGUGGAGGUAGGCGGAAUUCGUGGUGUAGCGGUGAAAUGCUUAGAUAUCACGAAGAACUCCGAUUGCGAAGGCAGCUUACUAAACUGCAACUGACAUUGAGGCUCGAAAGUGUGGGUAUCAAACAGGAGUAGAUACCCCAGUAGUC